AUGCUGCCAAACGUUCCUCUAACUGACUCUUCUCUUUCUGAAUAUCAGCAAUGGUGUUCUCCAUUUCUCUCGUACAAUGUUGCAAACCAUCGAUCUCUUGUUCUUUCAGCUGAACUGUACGCUCAAGCUCACUGGUCUUCGUUUCGAGGACCUCGUUGGAAGAAACAUGGGAAUCUACACUGCUGCAAUGGUGUUCUCCAUUUCUCUUGCACAGUGUUGCAAACCAUCGAUCUCUUGUUCUUUCAGCUGAACUGUACGCUCAAGCUCACUGAUCUUUGUUUCGAGGACCUCAUUGGAAGAAACAUGGGAAUCUACACUGCUGGUAAGCACGAGAUCUUCAUGCGCUUCAACCAAGCAUUUUGA
rnacentral:rRNA from 1 species